UACACUAAUACAUAACGUAUAAUAUACUGAUACAUAACAUAUGUACUAUACAAAUAUAUAACAUAUAACACGCUAACGUGUAACAUAUAUGCUAAUAUGAUUACAAUACACUGAUAUAUAACUAAAUAAUAUAAUGAUAACUAUAGCUCUGUCCACACAUAAGGCAAGUGGAGAACCAAGACAAUAUCCCACCGGGGAGCGGGGGGCAGGAGAGAACAGCGGGUGGGUCACAGAGGGGACAGUGGAGUCCAGGCUGGGUGAGCCCGCAGCCUCGCUGAACCUCAGGUACAUCCGCCUGCGUGAAGGGCUGUGACAAGAUGCAGUAAGUCAGCACAUUUAAAACAGCAGACUCGCUGCACGACAGACAAGAGAGAGACUCAGACACCAAGGAGGGCUUCCAGCAGAGGAGCAUGCAGAUAAGCACUCUGGGCUGGUACUCAGCUCAGGGGGAGGGGCCCUGGGGGCCUUGCAAGAGGAGCCCCUGGUAGAAGGAGGUCUGGAGGCUGAGACCCAGGAGCCUUCCUGCCGCCGUGGGUCCUUCCCCCUCUGGCUCAUCCGCUCUGACCCCAGGAGCCGCGGGCGGAGACCCAAGCCUGGCCCCGGGGCUGCUCUUCCCGCUGGUUCCUGUGUCAGUUUUGUGAACAGGCCCGGACUCUGAGCUGAGCUAAUCCUGUAAAAGCCAGAGCAGCCUCAGAAUGGGGUGGCUCUGGGGGGCAGUGAGGAGCGGGGUCGCCCAGCUUUGUCACAAGGUCACGUCAGAGGCCGGAGGACCAAGACGCCUCACUGGAAACAUCUGACUCCAGAGAGAAAAGGCAGCACGUACUUUUACACAGUUAGUGUGGCCGGAAGAAUAAUGGCGCCAAGGCUGUCCACGUGCUAAUCUCCAGGACCUGGGAGUACGUUCCCUUACGGGGCUCAGGAGCCUCUGCAGCUGUGAUCAAGCUCAGGAUCUUGACGCAGGGAGACACCCGGGAUUAUCGGUGAGCCCGGGGUAGUCACGUGGGUCCUUUCAAGCCGGUCAGAAGGAGGCGUGGCAAUGGGGGCAGAGGUCAGAGGAAGAGGUUGCGCGCUGCUAUUCCGCAGGCUUUGCAGGUGGAGGAGGGGCCACAAGCCAAGGGACGCAGGCGCCUCCAGGAGCUGGAAAAGGCAGGAGACGUUCUGCCCUGGAGCCUCCAGGAGGGACCAGCCCUGCCGACGCCUUGAUUCUAGGACUUCUGACUUCAGAAGUGUGAGCGGUCGUGGGAAUGUGCUGCAGCGGCGGCAGUAGGAAGUCAAUCCACGUAACCAUGGAAGAAUGAAAAUAAACAUAGUCCAGCUGAUACGCGUAGGAGGAGCGAGAGCAAAGCGGGUCAGCCCCCGAGCUGUGCGGCUCAGCUGCCCCACGACGGACCUUGAAAGCAGCAGCCCUGGUCUUUCCCCAGCUGUGGACACGCGUGAUCUCGGGACACGGCCGCACGGGGAGGCGGAGCUGGGGAAGGGAGGCAGGAACUCUUCUGUGCCCCUCACCCGAUCUCACAGCGAAGGGCUUGUGCGCGAGCUCUCAGCUGGAAACAGGCACUGCUUGCUCUCGUCUCUCCUGGGGCCUCGCAUUGCAGGGACGAGCAGGGCUGUGAGCGCGGCCCGCGGUCCUGAGGGCGCUCUUGCUGCUUCGUCUUCGGGGCAGCACGGAGGGCCUGGGUGAGCCCUGAGCUGGUCGUGGCUCUGAACCGAGGGCCGACGGCACCAAAGAGCGGGCCUCUCCCAUAAAGUCCAGGCCUGGGCCAGGGGUGCGGGCUCCGCAAGGCCCCGGCCUGGGCUGAGGACGCGCCUCCAGGGUAACCAGCACGACACCACGGGCUGGGCUUAACUGAACAGACCUGAUUCCUCCCCACUCCUGAGGCUGCAAGUCCAAGAUCGAGGUGCUGGCAGAUUCGACCCCACCUCGCGGUGGCCGCCUUCUCGCCGAGUCCUGGCGCGGAGGGGAGCGCGGGCUCUGGUCUCCUCUUGUGAGGGCGCUGCUUCCAUCGCGGGCCCCACCCUAUGACCUCAUCCAUCCCUGAUGACGCGCACAGCUGACGCCACCACACUGGGGGUCCAGCAUCUGCAUCCUGGGGAGACACCACCUGUCCGCCACCACACUGGGGGUCCAGCAUCUGCAUCCUGGGGAGACACCAUCUGUCCGCGGCACUGGCGGGGACGCGUCUCCGAACCUUGGCCGCCCCAAACCCAUCUCAGAAAACGGCCCCAAACUGAGAAGCCGUUUGAGUCUUCUGCUUCCGUCUUCCCUGUCGGCUCUGCCUCCGAAAUCCGUCCUCCGUCCCUCACUUUCUCCUCCUCUCCCCACAUCCGCCUCUGCCACCCAGCGUCCAUUCUCCACCCAGCAGAUACUGAACCUUUUAAGCCAUCUCUCCGAGGAGCCCGCGCCCCUCUUAGAACCCCCUACCUCGCCAGGGUCCACACCCACCCGCCCCGUGCUGUCUGUGUGACGCCCUGGGGUCCCACUUCAGCGGGACCUCCCCGUUGCCGGGGCCGGAGGAGCCCACUCUGUCUCUCGCCCUCCCGGCCCGCUUUCUUGAGGUGUUUAUCCCCACGUGAGAGUCCUGUUUCCUGCAUCCUGUAUCGAUUGACCUUGGUCUUCUGGAACGUCUGCUCCGCCCGGGUACGGGGACCCACCACAGUGCCUCACCCGCACCUCCAGUGUCCACAAGGCUCUGAAAGUGGACAUGCUGCCCAUAACCAUUUGCCAGAAAACCCUGAACUGACCCGGACUCACGUGGUCGCCAAAACCGAUGGGAAUGGCUGGAGCCACUGUGGUCUGAACUUACCCUGUGGUCUGAAUGUUCCCGAGGGCCGUGAGGGAUGUUGACGCGUUUGAUUUUGGGGGGCUCUCCUCCAGCCCUGGAGAGCGUUACAGCCACAGGGCGCACGCGCCGUCACAGCUUCCAAAACUAGGCAUCAUCCGCGUUCAAAGCCAUCUGGCCCCGGGAUGCCAGGUCUCUCCGCUUUCAUCCUCUGCUCCCUGGUCCUUGUACUCUGGGCAGGAUGCUUUAUUCUACCAGGAGCAGCGCAGAAUUAAAUCUGUCACUUUUCACGGACUGCACUAGUCUCGUAGUUCCGAGGGAGAAAGGAGAUGAUGAUGCAAGCGUGGCCCGGUGUUAACAACAGAGCGCUCUGGGUGAAGAGACUGAGCGUCUCUGUGCUGUCCUCGCGCCCGCACGCUCUUCUGCAGGUUUGGAACCGUUUCCGCAUAAAGAGUUAGAAGCCCACCCACGUCCUGUGUCACUCCUGCCUGCCCCUCCCUCAGCAUCUCCCGUUUAAUCUCAGCUUGUUGUCUUAUUACCAUUGAUAUCUUGUUCCACGGGUUCCCGGGUUUGCUAGAAUCUUACUGAGAUAGCUUUGCAAAUGCUGCCUGAAAUUUACAUUUUGUUUUUGUAGUCGGUCAUUUCUACAGAUACGCUCUUCCUCUGUGAGUAUGGUUCUUUGCCAACUUUCUUAAUUUCUUUGGUCCUCCGUCUUCCCUGAUCUUUGCAGAGGCCCCACUUACCUCAUUUACUGAAACACAAAGCCCCCAGGCUGAUGCUCAGGGGUGAACAGUGAAGGGGCUGCCCUACCCGGCAACCGUUUCUUGGCACUUCCUUGCUUCCAGGAGCCCCUGCUGUCCCGGGGGUGGGUCUCCUGAUCCCGUGGUCUGGCUGUCCUUCCAUGAAGGGGGUGUAUCCCUACAGCUCGGGGCAGCCCGCUGGGCGUCCCUUGCCAGCCGGCCCCCCAUCGCCCGGAACGCAGGCUGGAGGUGGGCGCGAAGCAGCUGUGGCACACGCAGCCGGCACACGUGGCGCGGGAGCUUCUCACGGACCUUGAGCAAUAGUUCUAAUUCCAGCGCUGUCGAAACUUUUCUGUGUUUCACAAGCAUUGCCUCUGUGGUGUCUGCACAGGGGAGAUUGUGCCAUGAGUUACUGAAGUGUUGCUGUCAACUCUAGUGCUGAACUGAGUUUAUUUAAAAACAGAAAAGGAGGGAGGGAGGGAGGAGAAAAGUAGGCAGAGGCUGCUGCGAGCCGGAAGACUGGGUGACAGGGCUGUUGCUCUGUCUGAAGACACCGUAUCUGUGAGCGGGUUCCUUUCCUUGCACUCACCCUGACCCUCUCUUGCUCACCACUCGCCGCACACCCAGCACUUGCAGGGUUAAUGUUGCACCGAGGCGCCCGCCCCGUCUGGUUUCACACCCAGGGAAGCAGGGUCCGGCCGGACAACGGCCCCGCGGGCCUUUGGGGGUGGUUCGCGCUCCCCCCGGGCAGGGGGGAAGGAGAGCGGGUAUUGGGGCCGCAGAGCCUCAGACCCUGGGCCAGGGAGCCUGGGAGUCCUGGAGGUGAGCUCCGGGGACCCGGAACGGGAGAGAGAAAGAGCUGACAUGGGACCGGGGAGCCACGUGCCUGCGCCCUCAGGGCGGGAGCUGACUCGGCGCGGCGCCAGCUCCGGGGAGUGGGGGGAACCUCCAUCUGGGGCCUCGGGCUGCGGGUCCCCCCCGCCCCCCGUGCGGGUGUGACCCCGCGUGGACGGGCGGCCGGGCCUGUGCCCUGGGCCAACAGAGGCACCUUGAGCCCGGGAGCCCGGCAUCAGAGCCUGUGUUCAAGGCCCCAGGGGCCAAGGGUCCUUGCAAGGGACCUCCUCCAAGGGUCUCCCCGCAGCCGAGACGCCCUCAUUCUUAUCCACCCCCCGGAUGCUCUCAGUCCUUCCACAAGGACCCUUGUCUCCCGCCCCAGCUCAAGGCCCACCGUCCUGCUCACCUCCUCUCGGGGUCCCCUCACCCCCUCAGUGCUUCUCGCUGGAGGUCCUGAAACGGCGGAGCAAGCCCUCCGGCCGCCCCUUGCCCACAGCAGCACGUCCCAGAGAGCAGUCGCUUCCCUCGCCGAGGUCGUGACUUCGGCCAUGUGCUUGAACCAAGUGUGUUAUCAUGCGCUUAACCUUGGUUUUCAAAUCAACUCCCUACUUAAACAUACUUAUUUAAAAGGACAUGCCGUAGGUCUCCCAUACAUGGAAUACCAGUGCUUUCCUCAUAGACUUUAAAAUAAAUAGAAAACGAUUAAAAUGUAAAACACUCAUCCAGGGACCACCUACAGUCAGGAACACUUCCUCCUAGUACCUUCCGAAAUCACGCGUUCAUCUGCAAUUGUUUGUGUGACCCGCUGUGAACAUUCAACCUCUCAAGGAAGAGGGGAAGCAAAGUAAGUAGCUUGAGGAGACAAAAACAUACUGAAGAGGCUUAAAAGGGUCAGGAAGGGAGGUGCCUCUGAAAUGACCACCUGCAGGACCACAGGAAGAUGGCAGCCGUCGCCCUGCCUUUUCACUGGCAGCUUCUCCGGAGUCGCGGAUUUGGGUUUCCGUCUGAGUUUUCAGUGGGCAGUCUUUUCAUUUGUUUACCUCGCUUGUUUGUCUCUCAUCGUAGAUAUCAGCUCCCUUCCGGCAGGGGCUUUUCUGUUUUUAUUUCUCUUUUUUCACAGCUAUGGAUGAAAACGUGCUGCCUGGAUGAAUGUGGCGAGUUUUGUUUUUUUCCUGUGUUGAUGAGAACUUGGAAGGGUUGCAGCCAAAGCAGCUCUAGUCCAUUUCUAAAGAGACGAUCUGUUUGUAUUUAUUGACACAAUGAAGUUUUGAAAUGUUUUCUGGUCAAACCCAUUACCUUUUCCUUAUUGUUUUAAUCUUUGGUUUCAUGUUUCUUAAGUUCUCCCUCACCCCAAGAUUACAUAAAU